CGGGACACGUGGUAUCCUGUCUGAAUAUGGGGGGACCAUCCUCCAAGGCUAAAUACUCCUGACUGACCGAUAGUGAACCAGUACCGUGAGGGAAAGGCGAAAAGAACCCCGGCGAGGGGAGUGAAAAAGAACCUGAAACCGUGUACGUACAAGCAGUGGGAGCACGCUUAGGCGUGUGACUGCGUACCUUUUGUAUAAUGGGUCAGCGACUUAUAUUCUGUAGCAAGGUUAACCGAAUAGGGGAGCCGAAGGGAAACCGAGUCUUAACUGGGCGUUAAGUUGCAGGGUAUAGACCCGAAACCCGGUGAUCUAGCCAUGGGCAGGUUGAAGGUUGGGUAACACUAACUGGAGGACCGAACCGACUAAUGUUGAAAAAUUAGCGGAUGACUUGUGGCUGGGGGUGAAAGGCCAAUCAAACCGGGAGAUAGCUGGUUCUCCCCGAAAGCUAUUUAGGUAGCGCCUCGUGAAUUCAUCUCCGGGGGUAGAGCACUGUUUCGGCAAGGGGGUCAUCCCGACUUACCAACCCGAUGCAAACUGCGAAUACCGGAGAAUGUUAUCACGGGAGACACACGGCGGGUGCUAACGUCCGUCGUGAAGAGGGAAACAACCCAGACCGCCAGCUAAGGUCCCAAAGUCAUGGUUAAGUGGGAAACGAUGUGGGAAGGCCCAGACAGCCAGGAUGUUGGCUUAGAAGCAGCCAUCAUUUAAAGAAAGCGUAAUAGCUCACUGGUCGAGUCGGCCUGCGCGGAAGAUGUAACGGGGCUAAACCAUGCACCGAAGCUGCGGCAGCGACGCUGAUGCGUUGUUGGGUAGGGGAGCGUUCUGUAAGCCUGUGAAGGUGUGCUGUGAGGCAUGCUGGAGGUAUCAGAAGUGCGAAUGCUGACAUAAGUAACGAUAAAGCGGGUGAAAAGCCCGCUCGCCGGAAGACCAAGGGUUCCUGUCCAACGUUAAUCGGGGCAGGGUGAGUCGACCCCUAAGGCGAGGCCGAAAGGCGUAGUCGAUGGGAAACAGGUUAAUAUUCCUGUACUUGGUGUUACUGCGAAGGGGGGACGGAGAAGGCUAUGUUGGCCGGGCGACGGUUGUCCCGGUUUAAGCGUGUAGGCUGGUUUUCCAGGCAAAUCCGGAAAAUCAAGGCUGAGGCGUGAUGACGAGGCACUACGGUGCUGAAGCAACAAAUGCCCUGCUUCCAGGAAAAGCCUCUAAGCAUCAGGUAACAUCAAAUCGUACCCCAAACCGACACAGGUGGUCAGGUAGAGAAUACCAAGGCGCUUGAGAGAACUCGGGUGAAGGAACUAGGCAAAAUGGUGCCGUAACUUCGGGAGAAGGCACGCUGAUAUGUAGGUGAAGCGACUUGCUCGUGGAGCUGAAAUCAGUCGAAGAUACCAGCUGGCUGCAACUGUUUAUUAAAAACACAGCACUGUGCAAACACGAAAGUGGACGUAUACGGUGUGACGCCUGCCCGGUGCCGGAAGGUUAAUUGAUGGGGUCAGCGCAAGCGAAGCUCUUGAUCGAAGCCCCGGUAAACGGCGGCCGUAACUAUAACGGUCCUAAGGUAGCGAAAUUCCUUGUCGGGUAAGUUCCGACCUGCACGAAUGGCGUAAUGAUGGCCAGGCUGUCUCCACCCGAGACUCAGUGAAAUUGAACUCGCUGUGAAGAUGCAGUGUACCCGCGGCAAGACGGAAAGACCCCGUGAACCUUUACUAUAGCUUGACACUGAACAUUGAGCCUUGAUGUGUAGGAUAGGUGGGAGGCUUUGAAGUGUGGACGCCAGUCUGCAUGGAGCCGGCCUUGAAAUACCACCCUUUAAUGUUUGAUGUUCUAACGUUGACCCGUGAUCCGGGUUGCGGACAGUGUCUGGUGGGUAGUUUGACUGGGGCGGUCUCCUCCUAAAGAGUAACGGAGGAGCACGAAGGUUGGCUAAUCCUGGUCGGACAUCAGGAGGUUAGUGCAAUGGCAUAAGCCAGCUUGACUGCGAGCGUGACGGCGCGAGCAGGUGCGAAAGCAGGUCAUAGUGAUCCGGUGGUUCUGAAUGGAAGGGCCAUCGCUCAACGGAUAAAAGGUACUCCGGGGAUAACAGGCUGAUACCGCCCAAGAGUUCAUAUCGACGGCGGUGUUUGGCACCUCGAUGUCGGCUCAUCACAUCCUGGGGCUGAAGUAGGUCCCAAGGGUAUGGCUGUUCGCCAUUUAAAGUGGUACGCGAGCUGGGUUUAGAACGUCGUGAGACAGUUCGGUCCCUAUCUGCCGUGGGCGCUGGAGAACUGAGGGGGGCUGCUCCUAGUACGAGAGGACCGGAGUGGACGCAUCACUGGUGUUCGGGUUGUCAUGCCAAUGGCACUGCCCGGUAGCUAAAUGCGGAAGAGAUAAGUGCUGAAAGCAUCUAAGCACGAAACUUGCCCCGAGAUGAGUUCUCCCUGACUCCUUGAGAGUCCUGAAGGAACGUUGAAGACGACGACGUUGAUAGGCCGGGUGUGUAAGCGCAGCGAUGCGUUGAGCUAACCGGUACUAAUGAACCGUGAGGCUUAACCUUACAACGCCGAAGGUGUUU
rnacentral:rRNA from 1 species